AAAAAACCUGAAAAAAGAGAUAUUAUCAUAUAAAUUGUAGCACAGAAGAGAAAAACAGAACAUCCAGAGUGUUUGUGCAGAAAUGUUAAAAAACAAAGACAGGAAAAUAAGGAAACAAAUCCAAUUUCCUGCACAAGAAGCUCCUCGGAAGACCAAACACUGCAACCAGAUGUCUUUGUUCCUGGGAUGUGCUUAUACAUACUUGGAGAGGAAAAUUGUUCACAUUUCAUAUGGAGCCUGGCCAAAGAAGAGGGGGACCUCUUCCCCAGGGUCAAGCAGGCCAACUCACAGUGUCAUACCCAAAGUCAUAAGGUGGCCCACUGAGAACCAGCAUAUAUUUUUAAGAAAUCUCUUUUCUCUGCAAAAAAUAUGAUGAUGAUUGCUUUUGAUAUGAAAGUUUUAAGAACAAGGAUUCUAAUUCUAAAUAAGGAAAAAAAUUAUACUUUUGAG
rnacentral:lncRNA from 1 species